rnacentral:lncRNA from 1 species
CCCGCGGAGCCGCUCUCGGGGCGGAGACCUUGCCCAGGGGCACGUCAGCGGUCCUGAGGUGAGGCUCCUGCAGAGCACUCUGGGCCGCGUGUGUCUCUCCCUGCGUGGGCAGGCAGUGUCGGUGGCCGGAGCGAGGGUGUUUUCCCAUCGGGGUGAGAGGGAGAGCCCAGGGUGGGCCUGGGGGCGGAAUCGGACUCGGGUUGGGGUGGACUCUUCUGAAGCUGGAGGGGUGCGGGUGGGCAGGGCCUUAGGGAGCCUGAGGGAGGCGCGGUUCCUGGGGGAAGGGUGUGGCGAGGCGGCGGCAGCCGCGUCGCGCUGUGGCGCCCAGCGAAGGGGCAGUGCUGGCCACUCGUGUGGCCCUUUGGCUGCUGGCACCCAGUGAGAGGGGGGAGGCCAGGGACAGGUGGCAGCCAGGCUGCCCACAGGCCUGGGCGGUGGGGGCCCGGCCCUGUGCCUUGGGCAGCCUGGCCCUUGCUGAGGCGUGCUUGCGCGUGUCCGUUGUCGCCCUCACCAGCUGCUGCGGCGGAGAGACGGAGGCCAGCGCGGGGAGCGGAAGCCGGAGCCUGUCGGGAGCGACCCCGGGAAGGCCAGUCCCUCCUGCCGGUGGGAGGCGUGUUGGCGUGCGGCCGUGGCGGGAUCGAUGGCCACCUGGUAGGCGAUGCUGCUGCGGCGGAGAGACGGAGGCCAGCGCGGGGAGCGGAAGCCGGAGCCUGUCGGGAGCGACCCCGGGAAGGCCAGUCCCUCCUGCCGGUGGGAGGCGUGUUGGCGUGCGGCCGGUGGCGGGAUCGAUGGCCACCUGGUAGGCGAUGCUGCUGCGGCGGAGAGACGGAGGCCAGCGCGGGGAGCGGAAGCCGGAGCCUGUCGGGAGCGACCCCGGGAAGGCCAGUCCCUCCUGCCGGUGGGAGGCGUGUUGGCGUGCGGCCGGUGGCGGGAUCGAUGGCCACCUGGUAGGCGAUGCUGCUGCGGCGGAGAGACGGAGGCCAGCGCGGGGAGCGGAAGCCGGAGCCUGUCGGGAGCGACCCCGGGAAGGCCAGUCCCUCCUGCCGGUGGGAGGCGUGUUGGCGUGCGGCCGGUGGCGGGAUCGAUGGCCACCUGGUAGGCGAUGCUGCUGCGGCGGAGAGACGGAGGCCAGCGCGGGGAGCGGAAGCCGGAGCCUGUCGGGAGCGACCCCGGGAAGGCCAGUCCCUCCUGCCGGUGGGAGGCGUGUUGGCGUGCGGCCGGUGGCGGGAUCGAUGGCCACCUGGUAGGCGAUGGUAAGCGGCAGUGGCCUGCGCCAAGGUAGCCCCCGGGGGCGGUGUGUGGCGCCCGGACCCGCACCCUCUGCUCCCGGGGGUGGAGCUGACCUGCUUGCCCGCGGUUGGGCUCGGGAGCCUGCGGGCCGCGGCCAGGAGGGAGCUGGCUGGCCGUCCCGGCGGUGGGGGCUGUGGCGGUGGCCGUCCCGCGGGUGUGCCCGUGCUCGGAUCGAUGAUGACACCCACAAACGCAUUCCUUGGAAAAUCUGAACAAAAUGAGUGAGAACUCACUACCGUCUCCUCAUCGCAAACUGAGGUCCGGCACGUGGCUCCCACAGGGGCCGUCGGGGGAGGGUCCCGUUGCCUUGGCUCCCUUGGGUGCGUGCAGCCCUGGGGCGCAGGUGGGAGGCAGGCAGGCCUCCGGUGGCCC